rnacentral:lncRNA from 1 species
AAGACUUGCUUGGGAUAUGAACUAGAUGAUUUCAUGUCUACUUUUAAUUAAUAACCAAGGCACCACAGCCUAUUGCAUCUGAGUAGGGAGCAGCACAUUUAGUUUUUCCAUUUGGCGGUGUUACAUUAAGUCUUCUUUAAGGGCUUUCCCCCCGCUUUCUGUCGUUUUUUUUCACUUCUUUUUUUUCCCCUUAGUAUCUGCUGGCUAAAGGAGGGAGGGCCAUUUUUACCUAAAAUCCACUUUGCUUUUGGCUCCCUGGACAGAAUGUCCUUGGAGUGGCACCAAGCUCUGGCUAAAGCUCUCUUCCUGCAGAUGCAUAGGGAGUCCCUGACCCCGUGACGUUUGGGAACAAGUGGAACUCGUGCAGAGGCAUCCAGGUAUUUCCAGAGACUGACGAGCGAGGUCUGCAAUCGCUUCCUAACAGCAGACUAGCUCUAAAAGAUACAACUGGACAAAUGGAAUACGUUUGUCCUUUCCUAUACGGCAGAACUAUCAAUCACAAUGAAGCAAGUAUAAUCCCCUGGCCUUCUCUUCUCUACCAGUCUGCUUGAAGUAAGUGUUUGUCCCAGGUGAAACACAGUUUGUUUGGAACCAAAACAGAACAAAAACAAAAUAAAAAAAGUAGGAUUGGCA